UACGUAGGGUGCAAGCGUUGUCCGGAAUUAUUGGGCGUAAAGAGCUCGUAGGCGGUUUGUCGCGUCUGCUGUGAAAACUCGGGGCUUAACCCCGGGCCUGCAGUGGGUACGGGCAGACUAGAGUGCGGUAGGGGAGACUGGAAUUCCUGGUGUAGCGGUGAAAUGCGCAGAUAUCAGGAGGAACACCGGUGCGGAAGGCGGGUCUCUGGGCCGUAACUGACGCGUGAGGAGCGAAAGCGUGGGGAGCGAACAGG
rnacentral:rRNA from 1 species